GAUGAACGCUGGCGGCGUGCCUAAUACAUGCAAGUCGAGCGAACAGACGAGGAGCUUGCUCCUCUGACGUUAGCGGCGGACGGGUGAGUAACACGUGGAUAACCUUCCUAUAAGACUGGGAUAACUUCGGGAAACCGGAGCUAAUACCGGAUAAUAUAUUGAACCGCAUGGUUCAAUAGUGAAAGACGGUUUUGCUGUCACUUAUAGAUGGAUCCGCGCCGCAUUAGCUAGUUGGUAAGGUAACGGCUUACCAAGGCAACGAUGCGUAGCCGACCUGAGAGGGUGAUCGGCCACACUGGAACUGAGACACGGUCCAGACUCCUACGGGAGGCAGCAGUAGGGAAUCUUCCGCAAUGGGCGAAAGCCUGACGGAGCAACGCCGCGUGAGUGAUGAAGGUCUUCGGAUCGUAAAACUCUGUUAUUAGGGAAGAACGAAUGUGUAAGUAACUAUGCACGUCUUGACGGUACCUAAUCAGAAAGCCACGGCUAACUACGUG
rnacentral:rRNA from 1 species